UCGCCUGUUUAUCAAAAACAUAGCCCUAAGAAAGUGAUUUAGGGUAUAACCUGCCCAGUGAAAGAAUUUUAACGGCCGCGGUACCCUGACCGUGCUAAGGUAGCGUAAUCAGUUGACUUUUAAAUGAAGUCUAGUAUGAAUGGAUUUAUGGGGUUGAGCUGUCUCUUUUCUACUCUAUUUAAUUUACUAAUUAGGUGAAAAGGCCUAAAAUUGAUAAAAGACGAGAAGACCCUGGGAGUUUUUAUGAGAGUUUUUGUUGGGGCGACAAGAGAACAGGAAACUUCUUUAGAUUUCUUUUUACAAGCCGGUGUUUUCAAGGGUGAUUAAACUACCCCAGGGAUAACAGCAUAAUCUAAUUUGGGUUUGUGACCUCGAUGUUGGACUAGGAAAUUCCCGUGGCUAGCCGCCCGGGAAUAAAGUUCUGUUCGAACUAAGUUUUCCUACAUGAUCUGAGUUCAAACCGGAGA
rnacentral:rRNA from 1 species